ensembl:lncRNA
CAAACACAGAUCAUCGAACAAAUAUCAAACGCUCAACACUCAACAUAAACCUCAACACUCAACAAUAGCGGACCAGGAGGAACUAAACACAGGGCUUUUAAACCCCAGGAAAGUAAACAGAGGAAUGGAAACAGGUGGGGAGUAAUCAAUUAACAAAACGAGGAACGGAACAUGACCAAAUAAGGAGAACACAAAAGGAACAGAAGUCCAUAAUUGUAACACAAUGACUACGAAAAACAUUUAAAUUAACCGAUAACCCUAUAAUUCUUUUUAUCAUUUACAAAAAUAAUGCAUCACAAAAACAAUGCAUCAAAAUCACUGAAGCUGAAACAGCAUUGGUUCUUGUAUGUAGGAAAUGCAAACUGCCUUUUUUAUUUUAUUUGUAUUUAUUUUUUUAUUUUUUUAUUGCUGAGCACGAACAUGGACUUCACUCAAGAAGUGCAGAGCAGGAUUAUCAGUGAAUAAUUUAAUUUUCUUUAUUUUCCCUUACACACAUCAAUUCAUAUGACCUCAGAAGAUGUGGAAUAUAGUUCACAAUUUAUAUGAACCAUUUUUGAUGUGUUGCUGGUGUGUUUUUCUUUUCUUUUUUUCUUUUUGGCUUGGGAGCAAUGUCUAAAUUUUAUUCAAAGAUUUCUUUAGAUGUGCCUGAUAGAAAACUGUAAUAAUAUGAGAGUAAGUAAAUAAUGGUAGUAUUUAAAUUUUGUGUCUGAUCUAUCCCUUUAAGGCAGAGAAUGAACAGGAGAAGAAACAUAAUGACUGAUAACUGGUGGGAGUUGAGAGUUUUUUCCCACUCAAGGAGACGAUGAAGUUAAAGGCCCUGGAGACACCCUCGUCCUCUUCCUUUCUUUCUCUUUCUUAAGUCGUUCUCCUGUUCCUGUUCUCUCUUUCCUUAUCAUCGUCUCCACACUAAAAUUAGGUCUUCUGUUAGCCAGGCUGCCGGUGCUCCAAGGAAGGCCUCAUGGGAGCAACAAUACAGGGAGCAUGGGUGUGUGUAUAUGUGUGUGUGUGUGUGCUGGAGGGAAUCUACCUCACCUUGGCAGGCGUUUAAGAGUAAAAGGAGGGCUAAAGUGUGCAUAGAGCUUAAUCCAGCUAUAGUAUAAGCUCCAGUAUAAGGUGGCAUUGCCCUGUGAGAGAGGAAUUGCUCUGGUCUAGAACAUGCUCUCAGGAGAGUGUCACUAUUAAGAGAGAGAGAGAGAGAGAGUUUCCACGUUUUUAUCAGGCACACUAGUGCACCUUUGUUGGUGUUUUUAUAGUUUUUACAGCACGGCUCUCACACACACAAACACACAUGAGUGAGAGUGAUGCAAGAAUGCCUGUUUUGCAUCCGUGUGCAUGAGAUUGAAAGAAAGACGAAGAACACAAAACAAGAAACAACAAGAACUGAACUAAACUAUAAGUCUGUGUCUCCUCACCCUCCCUUUCUCUUUCUCUCUCUCUCUCAAAUGGAUAAUUCUG